CAUUUUCUUGGAAUCUCUCAUGGAACCAUGCAUGAUGACUGUUUCUACAUCUCUGCAUGGGAAGGAACUCAGGGAUAGAGGGCACCCCGUUCCAUCCCCAUCCCAGCCCCUAGUGCAGGGGAAGAGAGCCGUGGAUGUUAACUAUUUGCCUGGAAUGUGUGAGACGGAUCCUGCCCUUUCCUUCACCAAGCCACCUAGCAGAACCCAUGCCAUCCAGGGCAUCUGCGAGAGAAACACCUCUCCCAGCCUCCCCUGAGCAGCCCACUAGCGCUGUGGAUUCCAGAUCCUGAAACUGCAUCUUGCACUCGGUGUCCUGAGCCCAGCUGAAGUGGCAGGAGCACCACUGACUCCAGAACAGACUUGUAAAGAAAGAAGGUAUCUCCCAAGUCAGCCACAGAGGCUCAUGGUUUCCUGCUCCAUCUAGUCCUGGGUGUUUGCUUAAAUGGGCACUGGCUGACAUGACUGAAACCUCAUGCAUCCAUCACACAUUCACCCUCAACAAAGACACAGCCCCUCCUUUAAGGCCUGUGCUCCCUGUACAUACACAGUGCCCUGCAGCACAGAGAAACCACAUGAAUGGCCUUCUUGGCUCAAGGAGUCAGGGAGUAGGGGCCUGCUGAGCAUGACCAUGUCCAGAGAGUGGGGACCCCAAGAACUGUAACAGCCCAUUGGACAGAUGUGGGCAGGAAUGGGGACAAAAUCACCCACAGUCUCAGACCCCAAAUGAGGUGUGAAUAUGAAAUCCAUGAAAACCUCAUGUGGAGGCCAAAAGACUAACUAGAUUCCCAUCUCAUCUCUCCAGGCCAGAAGCCUAUUAUCCAAUCCUUCCUCUCAUUGCAAGCCCCAGAAGUAACAGCAAUUACAAAAUAAAGAAAAAUAAGAACUUGUCAGCUCCAA
rnacentral:lncRNA from 1 species